AUACAAUUUCUCCAUAGGAGGAUAAAUACCUGUUAAAAAUAAAAUAGAUGAUUCGAUGGAUGGCAGUUUGGCUUCUAUUGUUUUGAUUCACACUAACAGUCUUUAGUCCUUAACAAGGCAGCACAGUCUUUAGUCUAUAUUUGUUACACAAGGCACUAGACAAUGAUCCUUACUCUUCUUAUUCUUGUUGUUGUUAUUAUUCUAUUUCAACCGUAUUCACUGCCCAGUGCGGGUUUUAGUGCAUUAUAUUACGGAAGUCAAGAUGAUCAAACGGCGUUACUGCCCAAAGUGCGGGUUUCAUUAAGGAGUCGGGUUCUCUCUCUGUGUGUUACGUCCAUCCACUUCCACAAAGUGUCGAGUGACAUUUCACAGAGGGUCGUACUCUGUAACCUCUUAAUGUUUCCAAUUCCGAUAACAGACUUAUAAAGACAGAUUUAUUUGUUUCACUUUGACGACUUAUAUCGCCAUAACAUUCCCGAUAUUAUU
rnacentral:lncRNA from 1 species